rnacentral:rRNA from 1 species
CCCUUAGAUGUUCUGGGCCGCACACGCGCUACACUGAAGGAGGCAGCGUGUACUCCUGGAUCGAAAGAUUUGGGUAACCCGCGAAUCUCCUUCGUGCUAGGGAUUGAGGUUUGCAAUUAUCCUUCAUGAACGAGGAAUUCCCAGUAAGUGCAAGUCAUAAGCUUGCGCUGACUACGUCCCUGCCCUUUGUACACACCGCCCGUCGCUACUACCGAUUGAAUGGUCCGGUGAAGCGUUCGGACCGUGGCUUUCUGACGGUCCGCCGUCGGAUUGCCGUGGGAAGUUCGUUAAACCUUAUCAUUUAGAGGAAGGAGAAGUCGUAACA